CAAGUAAACCAAGCAAUCGCUGCUGAGAAUUUCUCAGGAGAGGAAAGUCCGAGCUCCAUAGAGCAGGGUGCUGGGUAACUCCCAGUAGAGGUGACUCUAAGGAUAGUGCAACAGAGAGAUACCGCCAGAAUCAUCGUAAGAUGACGAGUUAGUCUUUGACUACUGGCAAGGAUGGAAAGGCGAGGUAAGAGCUCACCAGCGCAUUGGCGACUUUGCGGCUAUGUAAACCCCAUCUGGAGCAAGACCGAAUAGGAAGGUAAAUGGAACUGCUCGUUCUGCCUUCGGGUGCGUCGCUGGAGCCUAUUGGUAACAAUGGGCCUAGAUAGAUGAUUGCUUAAUACAGAACUCGGCUUACAGGUUUGUCUCGCAUA
rnacentral:RNase_P_RNA from 1 species